rnacentral:sRNA from 1 species
AUGAACACAUUCAAAAC